AGAGAGAGACAUGCGCGCAUAUCAAUAAGCGGAGGAAAAGAAACUAACUAGGAUUCCCUCAGUAACGGCGAGUGAAGCGGGAAGAGCUCAAAUUUGAAAUCUUCAAGGUUUUACCUUGACGAAUUGUAGUUUAAAGAAGUGUUUUCUGCUGAAGUUUUGGUAAAAGUUCUUUGGAAUAGGACAUCAUAGAGGGUGAGAAUCCCGUAUUUGACCAUUAUUUUCAGCUUUGUGAUACACUUUCAAAGAGUCGGAUUGUUUGGGAAUGCAGUCCAAAAUGGGUGGUAAAUUUCAUCUAAAGCUAAAUAUUGGCGAGAGACCGAUAGCGAACAAGUACCGUGAGGGAAAGAUGAAAAGAACUUUGAAAAGAGAGUUAAACAGUACGUGAAAUUGUCAAAAGGGAAGCGUUUGACACCAGUGUUGUUUUCUCGAAAAUCAAUUAAAAACUGGCUCGAUUUUGUAUUGUUGAGACCUUAAAAGCUCACUGUACAUUUUUCGUGUCUUUUUUAAUGCACUUUUCGUUUAACAAGUCAACAUCAGUUUCUUUUGUUGUAAAAGGGUCAUUGGAAGGUGGCUUUCUUUUCGGAGAAAGUGUUUAUAGCCUUUGGCCUCUGCAAUCGGAGAGACUGAGGUCUGCAGCGUAGACUCUUCGGGGUUAGAUACAUUUGUGCUAAGUUAUAGCUUUUUAUAGACAACUUGUUGACUAUAAUUAGUCUUGUAGCUUACUCGCUUAUGCUAUUUUACCUACGCUUAGGAUGUUGAAGAUGUAGCACAUCAU
rnacentral:rRNA from 1 species